rnacentral:rRNA from 1 species
GAUGAACGCUGGCGGCGUGCCUAAUACAUGCAAGUCGAGCGAACGGACGAGAAGCUUGCUUCUCUGAUGUUAGCGGCGGACGGGUGAGUAACACGUGGAUAACCUACCUAUAAGACUGGGAUAACUUCGGGAAACCGUAGCUAAUACCGGAUAAUAUUUUGAACCGCAUGGUUCAAAAGUGAAAGACGGUCUUGCUGUCACUUAUAGAUGGAUCCGCGCUGCAUUAGCUAGUUGGUAAGGUAACGGCUUACCAAGGCAACGAUGCAUAGCCGACCUGAGAGGGUGGUCGGCCACACUGGAACUGAGACACGGUCCAGACUCCUACGGGAGGCAGCAGUAGGGAAUCUUCCGCAAUGGGCGAAAGCCUGACGGAGCAACGCCGCGUGAGUGAUGAAGGUCUUCGGAUCGUAAAACUCUGUUAUUAGGGAAGAACAUAUGUGUAAGGAACUGUGCACAUCUUGACGGUACCUAAUCAGAAAGCCACGGCUAACUACGUG